rnacentral:rRNA from 1 species
UGUAGUUUUUUUUGCUGAGGCAGGCUAUCUUUAAUAGAGCUUUUAGUUUUAUGGAUAGUAAGAGGUAUCGGCCUCUUUUUUGAAAGCUUCGGCUUUAUAGCGAUUUAUUCGUAUAUAGUUCUAUAUGGAAUACAGAUGAUGACUAUUUUCUAUAUAAAAGUCUUGACUAAAACACGUGCCAGCAGUCGCGGUAACACGGGGCAGACUAGUGUUAUUCAUCUUUAAUAGGUUUAAAGGGUACCUAGACGGCAGAUUUAGCCCCCCUUGAAUCGGGACGGUACAUUUUUGCUAGAGUUUUAUGUGAGAGGGAUUUAGUACUAACAGAGUAGAGAUGAAAUUCUUUGAUACUGUAGGGCACUGAUAACGGCGAAGGCAGACCUUUAUGUAAAAACUGACGUUGAGGGACGAAGGCUUGGGUAACAAACAGGAUUAGGUACCCUAAUAGUCCAGGCAGAGACUGAUGAGUGCCAUAGAUUAGAAUAUAUUUGAUCUAUAAAUGAAAGUGAAAGCACUCCACCUUAAGAGUAAUGCGGCAACGCCGGAACUGAAAUCAUUAGACCGUUUCUGAUACCAGUAGUGAAGUAUGUUGUUCAAUUCGAUGACCCACGAAAAAUCUUACCACAAUUUGAAUAUUAUAGCAACUAUAGGAAAGUCUUUUAAUAUUAUUAAUAAGAUGAAAGUGCUAAUAAUACAGGUGUUGCAUGGCUGUCUUCAGUUUAUGUCGUGAGACGCGGGUUAGCUCCUAAAAAAUAAACGUGAACCCUUACUUUAUUUUAAUCGGUUUAACCGUUUACAUAGAGUAGCUGUCUGAUACGU